ACGGAGGAUGCAAGCGUUAUCCGGAUUCAUUGGGUUUAAAGGGUUCGCAGGCGGCGUAUUAAGUCAGUGGUGAAAUCCCUCGGCUCAACCGAGGAACUGCCAUUGAUACUGGUAUGCUAGAGUAUAGUUGGCGUAGGCGGAAUGUAUCAUGUAGCGGUGAAAUGCUUAGAUAUGAUACAGAACACCGAUCGCGAAGGCAGCUUACGAAACUAUAACUGACGCUCAGGAACGAAAGCGUGGGGAGCGAACAGG
rnacentral:rRNA from 1 species